CCACAUCUUAAGUUGAAAAUGAUUAUUCACUCUUUCAUCAUUAUAAGCUAAUUUAGCGAGUGCAGUCUUCCCCAAACCUCCGAUUCCCACAAUAGGAAUAAUAGAGAUCUGUCCACCAUCACAGGAGUCUUGUAAGAGUCUAAUGAUAUUUUCUUUAUCCUUAUCUCUUCCUAUAACAUCAGACUCUUUUACAAAGGAGUGGGUCAUUGCUCUUUCCUUAGGCAUAAUAUUCCUGCUUUCAUAUUGUUGUACAAGAUGAAAUUUAGACUUUUGACUUGCAAUCUCAUCCAAUCUCUCCAUUAUUUGCUUUAUUUUAGCACUCAUUUUAAAACGAAAUGCAAUUGGAUUAGAAGAUGAAAAAAAGUGACCCACCUUUUUGGUAGUAGUUCCAUAUAAUUUAAGCACUUGCUUUCUCUGGGUCUCACAUUCGAAUUCGUCGAGUACAUCCUCAGCAUCAUAAAGAACAUCUUUA
rnacentral:misc_RNA from 1 species